GAUGAACGCUGGCGGCGUGCCUAACACAUGCAAGUCGAGCGAUUCUCUUCGGAGAAGAGCGGCGGACGGGUGAGUAACGCGUGGGUAACCUGCCCUGUGCACACGGAUAACAUACCGAAAGGUAUGCUAAUACGAGAUAAUAUGCUUUUAUCGCAUGGUAGAAGUAUCAAAGCUUUUGCGGUACAGGAUGGACCCGCGUCUGAUUAGCUAGUUGGUAAGGUAACGGCUUACCAAGGCGACGAUCAGUAGCCGACCUGAGAGGGUGAUCGGCCACAUUGGAACGGAGACACGGUCCAAACUCCUACGGGAGGCGGCAGUGGGGAAUAUUGCACAAUGGGCGAAAGCCUGAUGCAGCAACGCCGCGUGAGCGAUGAAGGCCUUCGGGUCGUAAAGCUCUGUCCUCAAGGAAGAUAAUGACGGUACUUGAGGAGGAAGCCCCGGCUAACUACGUGCCAGCCGCCGCCGUAAUAC
rnacentral:rRNA from 1 species